UCCAUUUUUUUCCCUCCGUUAAUUUUAGGCCCUAAACUACUUCAUUUUUGAGAGCCAAUUAACACUUUAUUCCCCUUUCCCAUUUCAUUUUGCAAUAACCCUAACACCUUCAGCCGCUCUCUCUCCUUCCAUCACAGCUCUCUCGCCCUUCCAUCAUCGGUCUCGCCCUUCCAUCACCGGUCAUCACAACUCUCUCCUUCCAUCACCGGUCAUCACAGCUCUCUCUCCUUCCAUCACCGGUCAGCGUUCCAAAACUGGUGGCUUGGUUUAGAGAGACAAAGUCACACACACAGAGAGAAAGAGUCGUCAUUGGGGGUUUCCAAAACCUCGUCUACACUAACAGAUCGGACGAGAAUUUUUUUAGAGUCGGCAGACGACUCUCUUCGCGAAAGCCCUAGCUCCUUGCCCCCGACUACUGGACAUCGCGAAAGCCUUGGAUAGCUCCUUGCCUCCUCCUUACAGCUUUCUGAAGUCUAAACAAGGAAGGAUAAGUAAUAAGCUGACAAUGAAACGAACGGUUAGUGAAGUGGAAAAAGUGAGUGAACAAAAAGGGGGUCAUGUGCUACUGAUGCUACUGCUUCGGAGAUGAUUGUAAGUUUUCAUGCUUCCAUUUUGCAAAAAGGGGGUCACGUGCCUUGAAGUGACCAAUUUUUAAACUCUUUGCGGUGUAUUAGGGGGUCACAUGCCUUGAAGUGACCAAUUUUUAAAUCAUCGGCCCGUGUGGAGGCAUUUUAAUUUCAUUAUUUAUCAUCGGCCCGUGUGGAGGCAAUUUACUUUCUUGUAUUUGUUGAAAAGCAUAGGAGUAUAGGAUCAUUGUAUGUGGAGGCUUCUUGUUGAUUGAAAUCUAUAAUCAUAUAAAAUGCAUUUAUAACAAACAUAUUAGUAUUGUGAUGUUAAUUUUUGGGUUUUAAUUUUAUGUGUUGCAGUUUAUACAUAGCACAUACAUGUUUUCAUGCACCACCAUACUGACUGAACGUCCACAAAAGAGCUGGUCAUCCCCAUGUUACACUAUACACUGAUAACAUUUGAUAGGUUUAUAAGGCCAAAAUACAAGUCAUACAACCAAGAAACAUGUUUUUUUUGUUUCUUUUUUUCUUUUCUGAAAAGUACAUUAAAAAGUUGUACCAUAAGUAAUAGACGGAAGUAAUUCUGAGCAGCCAUUAACCUUUGAAUGUAGGUUUCUAGCCCCAGCCUGUAUUGACCAAAUCCAAUAUUCAGUUCGAAAAUUUUCAUUUAAAUUCCCCUCUCUAUUCUUAAAAUCUAUACUUCAAGUAUCCAAUAGAAAUUUUCAUGUUCGCUCCUAUGAAUUCACUUUUAAAAUCUACACUUCGCUUCUUUAUUCUUAGUUGACUUCAGAUUGUGACAUUAACUACUUCUCUCUCAAUCACUCUCUGUGUCUCACACACACACAUGCACAAUGAAGCAAUGAAGUUACAAUUUUAUGGCUUACUGGGAAAAAAAAAAAAAAGUUACAAUUUUAUGCUUCCAGCACUUUUGAAACAUAGUCUUCAAGAAGGAAAUAUUUUCUAAUCACUGUAACUUACUGCACUCACAUAUUUCAUCAUUUGGAAAUGCAUAAAUAAACAUGAUGAAUCUUGUAGAUAUAACUUUCUUAGCAUCUUUAGUUAUAGAAAGAAAUGAUAAAUUUUGAGUGUUUCAUUACAUAUCAUUCUCUAAAAGUGUAAAACAAAAAAACAAAACUAUUCGAAAAUGAUGGCAGGACAAAAUAAGAAAAUACAUGCUACUACUCCACAAUUCUCAGACACUGAAAAAUUUACAUGACAGAUCAUAAAAUGCUACGGUUGAGAUACAGAACAUUCAACUAUAUACUGAAAAAAAAAAAAAAAAAAAAAUCACUAGUCAUUGUUUAUUUGAUGAAAAAACAUGACACAACUGAAUAUCAACCAUUAACCUAAAAAUGGGAUUGUUAGGGGCCAAAAUGGGGACUUGGGGUGGGACCCUUUGAUGUAAGAGAAAAGGAUUUUUUUAAUUUUGUUUCUUAAAAUUUUAUUAUCAUAUGGGAUCGAUGGGGUCCUUUGUUUGCAUUUUACUUUCAAAGUGUUCAUGUUCCUAUGAUUGUUUGGUUGGCAUGAAAAUCUAAAUCCUUUUCUUUUCUUUUCUUUCCUUUGUGGGGAGAACUAGUGGGGCAAUGGAUGGAUUUGGAUCAUUGGUAGGUAGGUUUGAAGUUUCUCCAUGGAUUUUGUGCUAGCCUUAUCACUUGUCCAUGCCCCUUCAUGUAAGGAGGAACUUCCUCCUUGUAGUUAAAUUUUGAUUCUCUAUAUCAGAACAUAAAUCUUUACACACACACACACAUAUAUAUCAAUAAUCAUUGUUCAUUCCUCUAUUUCUCACAUGUUCAUCAAUUCAUCCUUCGUAGUCCAAGAUGCAAAAUCUGACUGCUAAUGUGUGUGUGUGUGUGUGUGAGAACAUGUUGACUGGUAUGCAGAGUCAUGACCAAACUUCAAUGACUAUAUUUUAAGCUUAAAACAAUGGCUCUUCUAUUUAGUAGGAUUUAUAAUUUUCUUAUAUUGAAAACACCAGGGCUAUGUUAGAAGGACAUAGAUAAAUCCAUAGAGCCAACUACACAUCAAACACAAUUAAUUCAUACAUGAGCAAUAAUUACUCCCAGAAAAGCCUUAAGCUUAGAAGAAAAGAAAAAAAAAAGCAUCGGUUAGCAGCUCUAUCUCGUACUCAGAUGGUACAUAACAUUUCAUCUUAGAACCGUCAGCAAUCAAUGAACAAUACAUUAUUGCCAAAGUAGUCAUGCUGCUGUUGAUCAGAGAACUCAAAACUAGUGUUCUACUUCUAUUGUGUUGGGCUUUUCCAUUGACUUGCAGAUCAUUCUAGAAAUCUAUCAUAUAUAGAAAAAGGCAAAACUGAAAGAGAAAAGACUAGUUUUUGGUUCUCUGGUAAUGUCAAGCACACCAGUCCACUAUACUGGAGAAAUCGAAUUUAAAACUUUUCAGAAAUCGAAUUUAAAUCACAUGGUGUCUAACCUUUUGGAGAAAGAAUCUAUCUACUUGUAACACUAAUUGAUUUCAAAUAACUACAACGCAUCAUAAAAUAUCAUUUUUUUAAGUUAAAGCAAACACACACUUAUUAUUGAAUUUCUAUUUAUAGUAUUUGAAAAAUUAGACAUCACAAAAAAUAAUAUUGUAACGUGUCAUUGGAUAGCCAUUUUAAUAUAUUGCAAGUGUAUAUCUACUUAUAUGUGAGGUAUAUUUGCUUAAAUAAAAUUCAAUUACCAUAAAAAUAUAUAGUUUUUAAAUUAUAUUUAAAAAUUGUUUAUAAAAGAAUUAUAAAUUAAAUUUAAGUAGAUUAUUGUGCGUUCAUUAGGAAAUUGAACUUUGAGGUUCAAAAAUCUGUGUUUUGAAUUUCAAUUUUACUAGUAUUAUUAAAAGUACAAAGUGUUUCAAAUCAUUUACCACUUAUUUAUUUAACUCAAUAAAAGGAAAUCUAAUUAAAGAAGGAAAUUUAUACUAUUAUUAAUAUUAAAAGGAAAUUCAAUAAAAGAAAAUAUAUAAUACUAAUUUUUUUUUCUAAAUAAUAUUUAAAAAAAAUGCUAAAGUUAAACUACUAAAAUUUAAUAAAAAUCUAUUUAGAGAAAGAAAUGCUAAUAAUAAUGACAUACUAGUAUGGAAUAUUAAAAUUCAGUAAAUAAAAAUCUAAUUAGAGAAUGAAAUAUAUAAUAUUAAAAACUUAUUUAAUAAUAUAGUACUAGGACACACUAAUAAUUAUAAUAAUAUAGUAGCAUAGUUGAAAAUCUAAUUAGAGAAGAAAAUAUAUAUAAUUAAAAAAACGGAAAUAUUGAAAUUCAAUAAAAGGAAAUUUAAUUAGAGAACAAAAUAUAUAAUGUUAAAAAAAAUUAUUUAUUUAAUUCAAUAAAAUAAAAUCCAAUUAGAGGAGAAAUACUAAUAAUAACAAUAUAGUAGUAGAAAAUACUAAAAGGAAAUCUAAUUAGAGGAGAUAAUCGUAAUAAUAAUAUAAUAGUUAAAAUUACUGAAAUUCAAUAAAAAGAAAUUUAGAGAAUAAAAUAUAUAAUUUAUUUCAAUAAAUACAUAAUAUCAAUUCUAUAUCAAAAUAUACUAAUAAAAUCCUAAACUAAGAAUUCUAUAUACAAAAUUAUUUUUAUAAUUAACAUUUUUAGAAUUUAUUUUAAAUUUUUAGAAUGUUAUUAAUAAUAAGGAUAAAUUACAAUGGCCUCCCCUGAGGUUUAACCUAAUUACAAAUAAACCUGAGGUUUGUAUUAUUUUUGCAAUGUGUCCUAUGAGGUUUGCCCGAUUUUGCAAAGACCUCCCUUCGUACAAAAAUGAACAUGUUAGAAAUUAGUUUAAAGUGACCAUAAUACCCUUCAACUAAGUAAAAAGACCCUAUUGCCCUUACUAUGUCAUCAAAUUUAAAUAAAAUAAAAAAAAAAAAAAAAAUUGUUUAAAGAACCAAAAUUGCCCUU